CAUAUAUAUGCCAAAUAACACCAGAUAACACACAUGUCGAUUUUUUAGGGGUUGGUGUUGAUAACGUUGGUUUGCUGUCGACGUAGACUACACCAGACCAAACUCGUUUACAUAUUGAUCCUACCUGAACUUCGUUGUCAAGACUCUUGGUCUCCGUGGUCUAGUGGAUGGAGCGUCUGCCCGGGGAGCGGAAGGUCGAUGGUUAGAUCCUCCGGCCGCGUCAUACCAAAAGAUGGUACUUGUUGUUUCCUUGCCUGGCUCCGAAGAGAGGGGAUAAAACAAGGAUUUGUAGGCUCGGUGUAAGAAUGAUAGUUUUCAAGCAUCUCCAACUGAAAGGGCUAACAAUUAUUCAUGCGGACAUGGUGUCAACUUUAGGAGAUGAUCCUCCUUCAUUUUCGACUGUAAGAGGUGGGCAGCAGUGUUCAAGACGAAAAGGCAGGGUCUUGAACACGACUGCAACCGCUAAGAAAAUGUAAUA